rnacentral:rRNA from 1 species
GAACCCCCGGCGCGGAACGCGCCAAGGAUUACUCAAAUGAGAUCGUCGGGCCAUCGUGCCCCGUCCGCGGGUGCAUUGGUGGCAUUGGCGUCUUUCAUCACAUAAACGACUCUCGGCAACGGAUAUCUCGGCUCUCGCAUCGAUGAAGAACGUAGCGAAAUGCGAUACUUGGUGUGAAUUGCAGAAUCCCGUGAACCAUCGAGUUUUUGAACGCAAGUUGCGCCCAAAGCCGUCAGGCCGAGGGCACGUCUGCCUGGGCGUCACGCAUCGCGUCGCCCCCCUCCCAUUGCGGAGCGGGGAGCGGAUGAUGGCCUCCCGUGCYCGACCUUGGAUGCGGUUGGCCGAAAUGUUGGUCCUUGACGAUAGACGUCACGGCGAGUGGUGGUCGUACCUAGUGUGCUUAUCGUCGCGUCGUGCCCURUCGUCUUGCGAUUUUGACCCUUUUGAGYUGGUGUGAGCCGGCUCUCUGACCGCGACCCCAGGUCAGGCGGGACUACCCGCUGAGUUUAA